GAACAUCCAGAACCCUCUCGCGCCCUCCCUCUCCCGUUUUCUCUCUUUCUCUCUCUUCUCUCCCUCCCUCCCGCGCGCGCUCUCGUCAUCCGCUCGUCCUCUCCCGUUCUAUCUUUCUCUCACGCGCUCCCUUCCCAGCCCUCUCUCUCUUUCCCUCCCGUAUCCCUUUCUUUCUCCCUCUGUCUCUGUCGCUGUGUGCGUCAGUGGGUGUGAGUGUGUGUUGUGUGGUGGGAAAAGAAGAAACGGAGAGAGGGUGAGCCGAAGAAACGCCUGUGGGUCUCUGGGUGCUGUAGGGGCACAUGGUUGGCUCGUCCGUUCCAAGUCGAGUAGUGAAAUGAGUGGUUUGGGCAGGGGUCUGGGUCGCAACUACAUCAUGUUUAUAUUAUCGGGAUCUUCCACCCAUAUCUGUUCAGGAAGCGAAGACAACAGAUAAUGCUUUUUGCAUAAAACUGAGAGUAUCAUCGAGGACAAGGCUG
rnacentral:lncRNA from 1 species